CAACCACUCUGAAUAUUCCUGAUUGUGACUGAUCUCAGAGGCUAAGCAGAGUGGGGCCCAGUCAGUGCUUGAUAGGAGUCUUAUUCAGUCUUGGCUAAGAAUUGU
rnacentral:rRNA from 1 species